rnacentral:rRNA from 1 species
CCUACGGGGGGCAGCAGUGGGGAAUAUUGGGCAAUGGGCGCAAGCCUGACCCAGCAACGCCGCGUGAAGGAAGAAGGCUUUCGGGUUGUAAACUGCUUUUAUAAGCGAGAAAUAUGAUGGUAACUUAUGAAUAAGGAUCGGCUAACUACGUGCCAGCAGCCGCGGUCAUACGUAGGAUCCGAGCAUUAUCCGGAGUGACUGGGUGUAAAGAGUUGCGUAGGUGGCAUAAUAAGUAGCUAGUGAAAUCUGGUGGCUCAACCAUUCAGACUAUUAGCUAAACUGUUAAGCUCGAGACCGUUAGGGGUAACUGGAAUUUCUAGUGUAGGAGUGAAAUCCGUAGAUAUUAGAAGGAACACCAAUAGCGUAGGCAGGUUACUGGGACGGUUCUGACACUAAGGCACGAAAGCGUAGGGAGCAAACGGGAUUAGAUACCCUUGUAGUC